rnacentral:rRNA from 1 species
AAUCCUGGUUCAGGAUGAACGCUAGCUACAGGCUUAACACAUGCAAGUCGCGGGGCAGCAUGAAGGAUGCUUGCAUCUUUUGAUGGCGACCGGCGCACGGGUGAGUAACGCGUAUCCAACCUGCCUGUUACCACGGCACAGCCCGUCGAAAGGCGGAUUAAUGCCGUAUGUGGUCCUUUGCGGGCAUCUAAUUAGGACUAAAGGUUCGGCGGUAACGGAUGGGGAUGCGUCCGAUUAGCUAGACGGG